GGUCAGACAGAGAGACAGGUGGUGGCAUGGUUGUCGUCAGCUCGUGUCGUGAGAUGUUGGUUAAGUCCCGCAACGAGCGCAACCCCUGCUUCCAGUUACCAUCAUUAAGUUGGGGACUCUGGAAGGACCGCUGCGGUAACAACGCAGAGGAAGAUGGGGACGACGUCAAGUCAUCAUGGUCCUUAUGUCCGGGGCUACACACGUGCUACAAUGGUAGUUACAGAGGGUUGCGAAGCCGUAAGGUGGAGCGAAUCCCAGAAAAGCUACCCAAGUUCGGAUUGAGGUCUGCAACUCGGCCUCAUGAAGCUGGAAUCGCUAGUAAUCGCGCAACAUCAUGGCGCGGUGAAUACGUUCCCGGGCCUU
rnacentral:rRNA from 1 species